AUUGCUGUCCCUAGCAGUCCUCUUACAAAAAUAGAUAGGGCAGAGUCUUUGCAGUUGGCAAGUUUCAAGUUUGAGACGCUAAACCAUUUGGCCGCCGCCGAAACCGAGCAGUACCACUCUCCCUUCAACUUGUUAUGGAGCAGCCUCAUGAUUAUGACGAGAGGAAGAUGAAUCCUUUAAGAAUCACCAGAAACGCCCCGAAACGGCUGCUGCCUUCGACGGUAACGCCAGUCCUUCCGGAUGAACUCCUCACAGAAAUCUUUCUGAGACUUCCGGCAAGGCUUCUUCUUAGUGUACGGAGUGUGUGCCGUUCAUGGAGAACCCUAAUUUCCAGUUCCCAAUUCGCCACCUACCAUGUUCAACGUUCAAUCACCGCGGAUCCAAGUUUGGGUGGGCUCCGAUUUGUUGUUUAUCAUCAUACUUGCAGCUACAGAUUUGGAAAUUUCUCCGUACGAUGCUUGUUCGAGAACCCUUCCAAACCUACUGAAGAUGCUCUCUUCCAGAUAAGCGGUUGCCACCAAAUUAUUGGCUCUUGCAAUGGAUUGAUGUGCUUGCGUGAGAAAGUUGGCACCGACUACCGUGUCAUGCUGUGGAAUCCCUGUACUGGAUUGACAUCCGAUUUGCUGGAAAUUCGGGGUUGUAACAUAUGGGCUUCCGACUUCGGCUAUGAUCAUGUGAAUGACAAAUACAAACUUGUUACGACUUUAUAUCAGGAACAGAAAUCUCAUAUAAUUGAGACCAGAAUUUAUACAUUUUGCAGGAACCCUUCCAUGAGAACGAUUCAAGAUGUUUCAUUUCGUAAAAUAUAUGGUGCUUGUACAGGGUCAAGAGGGAUAUUUGUGCCUGGCACUGCCACUCUUAACUGGAUUCUUAGGCAUGACACACGGACUCUGGAUUACUUGCUGGUUCUUUCCCUUGACUUGGUGACCGAGACUUGUACUCAGUUUUCCCUGCCCCUCAACAAUAAUCAGUAUAAUAAAACCAUCUUCCCAAAGUUAUGUUUGCUGAGGAACUGCCUUGCAUGUUGUUUUAAUCAUGAGAAAAUUCAGUGGUCUGUGUGGGUGAUGAAGGAGUAUGGAGUGCCUCAAUCUUGGACUAAAUUGGCCAUCAUCCCCUAUCACUCCUAUCACUCGAGUCUAUCUUCAGGUAUAUCUGCUGAUCAUUUAUUGCCAUUGUAUAUCUGGGAAAAUGUUAUUAUGGCAGCUGCAUCGUAUUCAAGAAUAGUUCUUUAUAACAUAGAUAAUGGCAGCUUUAAAUUUCCUGUAUUGAAACCUACUUCUCCGUCUUACUAUUUUGGAUUGCAAGUCCAUAUUUAUCACGAAAGCUUAGUUUCACCACCAUAUCUUGGCCUUCGAAGUAGCUCAUCCCAAAUCAGGUUGAUCAAGCCCUAGUGUACAAGCUGUCUUCUAAAUGAGCAUAUAGGAUAAUAGGAACCAAGACUGCUAGACAAAUCAGGAGCCAUGCAGAGAAAUUCUUCACAAAGGGUAUGCAGAGCUGAGUUGAAAAAUAGAACUCUGAGUUUGCUCAUUCCACAAUUAUACACACCAAAGCCUAAUGAUAACUGAAUGAGACAAGUUAUACAAGUUCUACAGUUUUAUAUUUGUAUUGAAAAAAUUAGAUGAAGGAAUUGUUUCGUUACUAUCAUUAUUGAAAUUAAAAAUUAACUAAUAUAUCAAUUCAAAGUCUGAUAUGUUAGAAAAGGUUGGAUAAUAAAAAGUUCUCUCUUA